GGCUGAAAAAGGAAACUGGAGAUAGCAAAAGAGACAUAGGAUUUAUUGAAGGAACUUACAUACAGGGACAAUCCAGGAGGAGCAGACUGGACCAGAGAACCACCACCAUUUGUAAAACACAUGCAGUUUAUAGAGGAAUUUCACUUAGCACCCUCCACCUAGCAACCUUCACCUAGCAAUCUCCAUUUAACACAAAACAAAGGGCCUGGAUCCCUUGUAUGGCCUGCAUUCCAAGGGAAUGGCUGGGGAUUCAGAUGUCCUUCAUAGAUAAGGAGUGAAACUCUGGGUUGUCUACUCCUGGAUCCCUUAGCUCAGGACUCCAAACACACAUUCUUCUUAGACCAUAGGGUCAUUCUCAGGGUAUGCUUCAGUUAUAGUUGUCAGGUGCCUCUGCCAUGUACCAACUAUAAUUUAUGUCUGUUUACUCUUGGAGAUACAUUUUCAGUUGGUGGAGUCAGAAGUGAGGAGACAUUAUCUCUCAGGACCCACAGGUCAAAUAGCAAACUCAACCAACCAAGUAUGAAAAUGACGCAAUAA
rnacentral:lncRNA from 1 species